CAAUAGCGUAUAUUAAAGUUGUUGCGGUUAAAAAGCUCGUAGUUGGAUUUCUGCCGAGGACGACCGGUCCGCCCUCCGGGUGAGUAUCUGGCUCGGCCUGGGCAUCUUCUUGGAGAACGUAGCUGCACUUGGCUGUGUGGUGCGGUAUUCAGGACUUUUACUUUGAGGAAAUUAGAGUGUUUCAAGCAGGCAUACGCCUUGAAUACAUUAGCAUGGAAUAAUAAGAUAGGACCUCGGUUCUAUUUUGUUGGUUUCUAGAUCUGAGGUAAUGAUUAAUAGGGAUAGUUGGGGGCAUUCGUAUUUAACUGUCAGAGGUGGAAUUCUUGGAUUUGUUAAAGACGGACUACUGCGAAAGCAUUUGCCAAGGAUGUUUUCAUUGA
rnacentral:rRNA from 1 species